GACAGAGGUGCCGAGCGUUAGGCGGAAUCACUGGGCUUAAAGCGUGUGUAGGCGGAUGCCUAAGUACCUUGUGAAAUCCCACGGCUUAACCAUGGAACUGCUUGGUAUACUGGGUGUCUUGAGCCACUUAGGGGCGACCGGAACAAACGGUGGAGCGGUGAAAUGCGUAGAUAUCGUUUGGAACGCCAAUGGUGAAAACAGGUCGCUGGGAGUGCGCUGACGCUGAGACACGAAAGCCAGGGGAGCGAACGGG
rnacentral:rRNA from 1 species